CAGUCACUACAUCCUCGCGACUAAUGACAAUCUUCAAUCUGCUCUCCAGCAGAAUAAAGUCUCUCAUUAGCCGCGCGAAUAGCUGUAAUAACGGACCAUUUUUCACUUCAACAAUACAUUACUCUGUUUCAGCAACGCAUCCUAGAAGAAAGGGGCCAUAAUAGGCCCCUUUCU
rfam:Lonsdalea quercina strain ATCC 29281 genome assembly, contig: Ga0052894_scaffold00007.7